AUUUUUUUGUGAGAGAAGCCUCAAGCUUGAACUGUGAUCUGUGCUGCCGCGGCACAGCUCCGUGCAGCCCUUUCAUUUCCCAAGCAGUGCAGGGGACACUCACUGCACUACUCAUCGGCAGGAACUCCCGUCUUCCUCGGCUCCAGUCCACAGCUGCCAGUGCCUCCCAUAAUUACACUUACACAGUGGACGAUGAGGGUGCAGCUACAGGAGCUCGGAGUUGUUGCACUGCUGUUCGGGAUCUUUCUGUACUCCUACGCAACUAUGGAGCCUUGAGCUGUGCCACUGGUUCUGUAUGUGAGGAGAGUAAAGGGAUUGUGCAUGCUGCUGAUGGAUACACGUGAUGAUUUUUAAAAGAAGAAGUGGUGGUGGACAUUAACUUUUGCCACUAAGGGACGUUACAAUUCAAACAGUUUUUUUGUCAUCUGUUAUUUUACCUGUGGGAAGGUUUCUAUUUGUUCUUGACUGUCCCAAAAAAAGGGGGUAACUUCAUAACAAUGUGGGCAUGAAGUGACCUGGGCAUUCUGUUGUAUCGGCAUAUGGUUAUGUCAUAGAGUAACAGGUCAUGUGAGAGGAUUAUUAGUGACCUGAUCUCUCUUUUUAUAAUAUUGGGAGGCGUGCCUAUACUGUAUGCAUGAGAGAUUAUAUCCUGUUGUGUUCAUAAUAUGUUACAAUUAGUACGACAGCUUUCACACAUGCCAAUAGCAACAACUAUGUAACACUGACAUCAUCUCUAUAAUUAAGUCAUUAACAUACCUCCCAACAUGACUUUCCUCUUAAGAGGGGUACACACAGAGACUGACUAGAUUGCUUAGAAGUUAAGCAUGGAUCUCUCCGUGUGUAUGCCCCACAGCGAAAGCGAUGCGCGGCCCCGCGCGUCUCUAUCGCCAGUGCUAGAUUGGCCUGCAUGCAGGCACAAUCUAUCUAGCACAUCGCUCAUUUCACCGCUGGGUGAAAUGAGCGGUCCCCCCGUCCGCCCCCCUCGCUCAGCACACAUCACGUUGUGUGCUGAUCCCCCCG